UACGAAGGGGGCUAGCGUUGCUCGGAAUUACUGGGCGUAAAGGGCGCGUAGGCGGAUAUUUAAGUUGGGGGUGAAAUCCCGGGGCUCAACCUCGGAAUUGCCUUCAAAACUGGAUAUCUUGGGUUCGGGAGAGGUGAGUGGAACUCCGAGUGUAGAGGUGAAAUUCGUAGAUAUUCGGAAGAACACCAGUGGCGAAGGCGACUCACUGGCCCGAUACUGACGCUGAGGCGCGAAAGCGUGGGGAGCAAACAGG
rnacentral:rRNA from 1 species